rnacentral:rRNA from 1 species
AGCAGCCGCGGUAAUUCCAGCUCCAAUAGCGUAUAUUAAAGUUGUUGCAGUUAAAAAGCUCGUAGUUGAAUUUCGGGGUUAGUAGAUUGGUCAUGCCUCUGGUAUGCACUGGUCUUACUGAUUCCUCCUUCCUGAUGAACCGUAAUGCCAUUAAUUUGGUGUUGCGGGGAAACUGGACUGUUACUUUGAAAAAUUAGAGUGUUUAAAGCAGGCUAACGCUUGAAUACAUUAGCAUGGAAUAAUGAAAUAGGACGUUCGAUCUUAUUUUGUUGGUUUCUAGGAUUGACGUAAUGAUUAAUAGGGAUAGUUGGGGGCAUUAGUAUUCAAUUGUCAGAGGUGAAAUUCUUGGAUUUAUUGAAGACUAACUACUGCGAAAGCAUUUGCCAAGGAUGUUUUCAUUAAUCAAGACGAAAGUUAGGGGAUCGAAGACGAUCAGAUACCGUCGUAGUCUUAACCAUAAACUAUGCCGACUAGGGAUCGGAUGAUGUUAAUUUUUAAUGUACUCAUUCGGCGCCUUAGG